rnacentral:rRNA from 1 species
AUGAUCUUGAUGAUUGCGGAUUCCACCAUUAAAAAGCCAAUGGGAAGGAUCAAUGAUGUUCUCAUUGGUGCAAAUAGAAAUUUGGUGCCCGUAGAUUUUAUCGUUCUUGAUAUAGAUUGCAAUCUUUCUUGCCCUAUUAUUCUUGGUAGACCUUUCCUUAGAACGAUUGGCGCGAUUAUUGAUAUGAAGGAAGGGAAUAUUAGAUUCCAAUUUCCAUUAAAGAAAGGCAUGGAGAACUUUCCAAGAAAGAAAGUCAAAUUACCUUAUGAAUCUAUCAUGCGAGCUACUUAUGAAUAUAGUGCCAAAGAUGGCACUACUUAG